rnacentral:lncRNA from 1 species
UUUUUUUUUUUUUUUUUGAGACAAGAUCUUGAUCUGUCACGCAGGCUGGAGUGCAGUGGCACGAUCAUAGCUCACUGCAGCCUGGAACUCCUGGGCUCAAGCGAUCCUCCUAUCUCAUCCUCCUGAGUAGCUAGGACUACAGGUGCGUGCCACCAUGCCCAGAUAAUUUUUAAAUUUUUGUAGAGAUGGAGUCUUACUAAGUUGCUCUGGCUGGCCUUGAACUACCAGGCUCAAGUGAUCCUCCCGCCUCGGCCUCCCAAAAAGCUAGGAUUACAGACAUGAGCCAUCGCACCUGGCCUAGGCCUUCUCUCUUGACCCCUUUGGGGUUGCCCUCCUUCCAGCUGGGAUGUUCGGGGACCCUGGUCACUGUUUUGUGUUCUGGAUCUACUCACCCUGCCCCCUCUGCCCAGACUACCCCAUUCCAUAAAUUGGAAAGGUUUGUUUUCAGCAUUAAUGCUCUUCCUAAAAAUGUCACUCAGCUUAGUCAGUUGGACUCAGAAAGUGGUCAGUGGUUAUGAAGUUGCCUCCUAAGUCUCAUUGUUUUCUAUCAUGGUAGGAACAGGGGCUUCCAGGGCCUCCACUGUGAUGGCAGAAAGUGGACUAAAGAAACCGCUCACACCCAUAGAAUAAGCGACAUCCGUGACAGGGAAGAAGCCAGUUUCCUUCUUUCUGGUUUUACAUAAAUACAUGGACGUUGCUUGGGUCAUACUACAGUAAUCCUGGGGCCCAAAUCACCCUUUACGUUACCCACACUGGUCUUAACCUGAACUCUGCAUUGACGUGAGCUCUUCUGACUUCAGCCUCCUUCAUGAGGAGCUUCUGGACGUUGACAGCUUAUUACCUCUUUUUACAAAUAGCUUUUUGAGCCGAGUGGUCAGUCUAUUUUGGAUGACAGUGUUGUCUGUGCAGUCGAGGGUCUAAGAGGAGGAGUUGCACCCAGGCUACUCCUCAGAUUUUCAACUUUUUUUUUUUGAGACGGAGUCUCGCUUUAUCGCCCAGGCUGGAGUGCAGUGGCCGGAUCUCAGCGCACUGCAAGCUCCGCCUCCCAGGUUCACGCCAUUCUCCUGCCUCAGCCUCCCGAGUAGCUGGAACUACAGGCGCCCGCCACCUCGCCCGGCAAGUUUUUUUGUAUUUUUUUUAGUAGAGACGGGGUUUCACCAUGUUGUUAGCCAGGAUGGUCUCGAUCUCCUGACCUCAUGAUCCGCCCGUCUCAGCCUCCCAAAGUGCUGGGAUUACAGGCUUGAGCCACCGCGCCUGGCCAAAUCUUCAGCUUUUUUUUAUCGGCCAAAGAUCCUUGCUUCAGCACUUAGUGCUUUAGUGGAUUUGUUUCUCGGGCCCUCCACCAUUCUGGUCUAUGUAAAAAUUUACGACUUAAUGUCUUGCCAUCACCGUUCUGGUCUGUGUGGAGCAACUCAAUAUUUGGUGGUGUCUAUAACUCUGCUCCGCUGAGGUGUGAUCAAUGAAAAUACCUCCUUUGGGUCUUUGGUGUCCUAUCUUUUUCUCUUAUUGAGAUGAUCUAUGUUUUGGAAGGAUUUGGAAGCUUAGGCAUGCCGCAGGUAGGUUUCUUUCUUUCUUCUUGUUUCUCUGCAAGUUGGUGAUUCUCUCUGAGGAAGUGAUGCCUUCAUGGAGCCAAGAGCACCGCAGUGGAAACUGGCGCUUGUGUCCUGGUUCUCGCUCUGCAGCUAACCAGGGGCAGGACCUUGAGAAAGAAUGACACAUGGGAGUCACUCAAAUGUUUGAAUAAAUUAUUUUUUAAACCUGUAAAAUCGAAAGUAUGAUUCCCAUUCUGUUUAAAAAGAUUGUCGGAGGUCAAAUGAGAGUGUUUGAAAAUGUGUACAAAGGCCGGGUGCAGUGGCUCACUUCUGUAAUCACAGCACUUUGGGAGGCCGAGGCAGGCAGAUCACCUGAGGUCAGGAGUUCAAGACCAGCCUG